AACGAACGCUGGCGGCAGGCUUAACACAUGCAAGUCGAACGCCCCGCAAGGGGAGUGGCAGACGGGUGAGUAACGCGUGGGAACAUACCCCAAGGUUCGGAACAACUCCGGGAAACUGGAGCUAAUACCGAAUGUGACCGAGAGGUGAAAGAUUUAUCGCCUUGGGAUUGGCCCGCGUUAGAUUAGCUAGUUGGUGGGGUAAUGGCCUACCAAGGCUACGAUCUAUAGCUGGUCUGAGAGGAUGAUCAGCCACACUGGGACUGAGACACGGCCCAGACUCCUACGGGAGGCAGCAGUGGGGAAUCUUGGACAAUGGGCGCAAGCCUGAUCCAGCCAUGCCGCGUGAGUGAUGAAGGCCUUCGGGUUGUAAAGCUCUUUCGCACACGACGAUGAUGACGGUAGUGUGAGAAGAAGCCCCGGCUAACUUCGUGCCAGCCGCCGCGGUAACAC
rnacentral:rRNA from 1 species